GACGAACGCUGGCGGCGUGCCUAAUACAUGCAAGUAGAACGCACAGUUUAUACCGUAGCUUGCUACACCAUAGACUGUGAGUUGCGAACGGGUGAGUAACGCGUAGGUAACCUGCCUGGUAGCGGGGGAUAACUAUUGGAAACGAUAGCUAAUACCGCAUAAUAUUGAUUAUUGCAUGAUAAUUAAUUGAAAGGUGCAAUUGCACCACUACCAGAUGGACCUGCGUUGUAUUAGCUAGUAGGUGAGGUAACGGCUCACCUAGGCGACGAUACAUAGCCGACAUGAGAGGGUGAUCGGCCACACUGAGACUGAGACACGGCCCAGACUCCUACGGGAGGCAGCAGUAGGGAAUCUUCGGCAAUAGACGAAAGUCUGACCGAGCAACGCCGCGUGAGUGAAGAAGGUUUUCGGAUCGUAAAGCUCUGUUGUAAGAGAAGAACGGGUGUGAGAGUGGAAAGUUCACACUGUGACGGUAUCUUACCAGAAAGGGACGGCUAACUACGUG
rnacentral:rRNA from 1 species